rfam:Chaetomium globosum CBS 148.51 scaffold_4 genomic scaffold, whole genome shotgun sequence.
GGCAAGGUGGCCGAGCGGUCUAAGGCGCCACGUUAAGGUGUUCAACCCUUAAUCAGAAUCCGUGGUCUCGAAAGGGGCGUGAGUUCGAAUCUCACCCUUGUCA